AGGUUUACUGGUCGUUGGAAAGAAGAUUAGGGAUGUUUUAGGUCAACCGUUGAAUGUUGAAAUGGCCAAGUCACUACCUCAUAGGCCUGCUAAAUCUGCUCUCGAUUAAUCUUCUUUGCUAAUGGUGAUGCAACAGGUUGUUGCAACGCAGUUUCAGCUGCCUCUUAUAAUGCAACAAACAAGGUCAUGAAAAGGCAUGGUGGAUUGAGUGUACCGAACAGAGAAAAGUUGACAGCUUGAUGCCGUAGCCAAAGCAAGGUAAGUGCCAACACUAUUGUCAGGUAAAAGCUUUUACAAUAAUCUUAGAAAUUUAUGGGUAUAUGCAAAAACAGGUUAUUCUUUUUCACAUAAGCUUUACUAUCUAUUGUAUUGGUGGGGCCUUUGGAUAAGAUGAAGGAAUUUGAUGAUAACAUCCCUCAUCAUGACUUCCAUAAUUUCUAGGUAAGAAACAAUGCUACUUCCUCAAUAUACAAAAUGUGAUGGUGGAAAUGGGUCAUUGUUAGUACAUGUCAAAACAAGUGGGCUGGGUUGUCAUCUAAGUAUAUUUUGUAAGAACCAGCAUGAUAGUCAUGACCACUUAUUUUUUUGGUUGUGACUAUCCUAAUGGAGUGUGGAAUAGGUUAAAGACAGAUGCAAGGUUGGAGAUGGCUCUUGAUAUUUGGUCUGAUAUUAUGAAUUUUUAUAUAGCUAGACCAAUCAAAAAAACCAUCUGGAAUAUAAUUCAAAGGUUAGUGCUUGGGGCUGUGGUUUAUUUUAUUUGGCAGGAAAGAAAUCUCAGAAUGUUUGAGGGGAAAACAAGGCCUGUCGAGGUCUUGUGUCAAAUUAUUUUAUCUGAAGUUAAAUUCAGAUUGAUGGGCCUUAAAAUUAAGAUAUCUAAACAUUCUGGAGCAGCUGAGACGAUUUGGGGUUUUAAAGCAGAUAAGGGUUUUGUUGUUAAUGAUUAUGAUAAUAAAUCUUAAUGGAGCUGCAUGUAAGGUGUAAGAAUGGAAGGUUUUUUGGCCUUGUGAUCUCUUAUUCUGUUCAAUAUAUAUUUCAUUUAGGGGUAGGAUAAGAGUUAUAAGGGGGUGUUUAGUUGUAGUACCUGUUGUGGACAUUUGUGUAACUAUGCCAAGACAUGAGUUUUGGAGUUGGAUGUUGACUCAUGUUUUUUUCUUUUCUGGCCUUUUCAUUAUUGGGGGCUUUCUUUUAUAUAUAUAUAUUUUUUUGUCAAAAUGCUUAGUCCAAACGGGCAUAAGAUUAGUGGUGUUUAGGGUUGUUAGUUGGCAUGGAGGGAGGCUUUCUUGGGUUUUCUUUGGAGAUAUAAGGGGGAUAUGUGUUGUCAUUUUAUUGCAUUUUAGUCCCUCAUGGGCUUUAAUGUUCCUUUUUUCUUCAUUUUUGCUUUUUAACAAUUCAGUACUUUUGUAUUUCCACUGGAUUGUUGUUAGAGUUUUAGGCUGCAGAUUCCGGGGAAGGAGGAUUUGUAGAAUCUGGUCCCUUAUUGAGUCUGUCAGUCUUGGUUUCUUUUUCUUUGUUUUGAGUCUGGUAGGUAUCUGGCUCUUUAUGGGAGGGUUUAUCGCUUUUAUUUGGGCUGGGUUGCAGAUUUUGAGAGUAAUACUGUAUUUAAGUAUCUUGGGUAUGGUAUUGUUGCUGAUCCUGCUCUUCAUUUAGAUGUUUAUGCCUAUGUUCUGAAUUUUAGUCUAGAUAUGUGGAUGAAUGGGGUUUCUUCUGGUGUUGGAUUGCUUUUAUUGAGGGUUUGGUUGGGUUGUUUGAGAUGUUGCUGCUGUUUUGUUUUUGAGUGUUUUAGUACAAAGAAUGAGUAUGGCAGCUUUUGUUUGGAUAUAGGAAUUAUGAGCAUUUCAGUUCUAUGGUAUUUUCUGGAUAGUAUUAGUGUUUUUUAGGAUGCUGGUUUAUUAAUGGGGACUUUUAAAUUAGGGGAUGUAUUGUAUAAUAAUUGUUGUAAUGAGUUGGUUUGGGUUAGUAGAGGGAUUUGUUGUAGAAGAGAUUAUUGGCAUUCAAAUGAUAGCAAAAUUACACCGAAGCUAUUUUAUUUUGAAGGUUAGGGUGUUGUGAAAUGCGCAAAUCAAAGGGGUAUAAUUGGUUUUAUAUUCUUGGUGCUUUCUGAAUGUGAGUGGGUAGGUUUGACUUUCAAAAGUUAAACAAUAUUUGUUGGUAUGAAUUUUGGCUCAGGAUAUAACUCAUUGAUAUUUGGAAGUAGUGAUUUUGAUUCUCACUUUGAUUCAUUUGCUGGGUCUUUUUUGGGCUCCUUGGUAUGAUCAGUGUAUUAAGUUGUUAUAGACUCUUUUUGGCAUAAAUGGAUUAUUUUGAUUGUGGAUAAACAAUGGAGGUGGGCUAAUACAUAUGGGUCCAAGAUUUCAGUAGAUUGGGCUAAUAGCUAUGAAGAAUCAAGAGAUUUUGUUGGAUGGUUUACUGAGGACAAGAGAUUUUGGUUUUCUUUAUAUUGUUUCGUAUUUAUACUUUGUAAUAAGUUACACUAUAUUGUAUUUUCUCUGUUUUUUGUUUAUAGUUUUAUUAUUUGGGAUGUGCAAUAAGGAUUGUAAAAUGCAAUCCCCUACGAGGAUGCCCAUAGUAUUUUUGUCUUCUUUUAUUUUCUAAUAAUAUUAUCUAAAGGGUAAAUACCCUUUUACCCGGAAAAAAAAGUAUAUCAAUGAAAUGGUAACUGAUGAACUUGUUUUUGAACGUA